CCUGUCGCAGUGACAGCGAGCAGUAGGCUAUUUCUUCUUAUUUCUAAAAGCGAUUUAUUCAGGAGGGCUGCUGCUUUGCUUUUACAGUUACAAAGAUAUCCAACUGAAACGGGGCUUACGCCAAGGUUGUAUGGAACUGCUGUAGGUAAUGAAAUGACGGACUUUCUCACUUUUCCCGCACUGCUCCUGAGCGUCCUGUUUCUACUGCUCAGCAGCAGCAUCACACCUACAUACACAGAGGAUGCGUGUAGCUGCACCGGAAAGUCCAGGUGUCACUGUGAUGGAGUAAAAGGCACUAAGGGUGAGCCUGGGCAUCCAGGUUAUGAUGGGUUGCCUGGAAUGGUUGGUUAUCCAGGUUUUGAAGGUCAUCCUGGACCUUUUGGCC